rnacentral:tRNA from 1 species
GCCUGGGUAGCUCAGUGGUAGAGCAGGGGCCUGAAGAGCCUCGUGUCGAUGGUUCGAUUCCGUCUCCAGGCACCA